AACGGUCUAUACCUGCGGUACCUGCGGAGGGAUCAUUACAGGACUCGCAAGACUCCUACAACCCUGUGAACUUAACUAUAAGCACGUUGCUUCGGCGGGUGUCUCGGCGAGGGUUCUCCCUCCCCGGGGCGCUAAGCCCGCCGGCAGCCUACUAUACUCUGUCUCUUUGCGUUGGCAUCUCGAGUACAAACAAACAAGUUAAAACUUUUAACAACGGAUCUCUAGAUCGGAAGAGCACAC
rnacentral:misc_RNA from 1 species